AGUGAACGCUGGCGGUAGGCCUAACACAUGCAAGUCGAACGGCAGCACAGUAAGAGCUUGCUCUUACGGGUGGCGAGUGGCGGACGGGUGAGGAAUACAUCGGAAUCUACUUUUUCGUGGGGGAUAACGUAGGGAAACUUACGCUAAUACCGCAUACGACCUACGGGUGAAAGCAGGGGAUCUUCGGACCUUGCGCGAUUGAAUGAGCCGAUGUCGGAUUAGCUAGUUGGCGGGGUAAAGGCCCACCAAGGCGACGAUCCGUAGCUGGUCUGAGAGGAUGAUCCGCCACACUGGAACUGAGACACGGUCCAGACUCCUACGGGAGGCAGCAGUGGGGAAUAUUGGACAAUGGGCGCAAGCCUGAUCCAGCCAUACCGCGUGGGUGAAGAAGGCCUUCGGGUUGUAAAGCCCUUUUGUUGGGAAAGAAAAGCAGCAGGUUAAUACCCCGCUGUUCUGACGGUACCCAAAGAAUAAGCACCGGCUGACUUCGUG
rnacentral:rRNA from 1 species